GCAGUUGCACUCUGGUUGGUGAGAUUGGAUGCCUUAAUUGCUCCAUACUUGGAAAGAGCCCAUUCUCAGAAAAGGCUGGAAAUUAGUGUCAGAGGGAAGCAUGCUCCAAAGCAAUAGCACCGCCUUUUUUCGGUAGA